GUGUAAAUUAGAGAGAGAAAAGGGAAGAACGGAGCAGAAAAUAUAUGGCAUAUUCGUGUUAAAUUAGGAGGCGAAAUCAGGAGUUUGAAUAGUUUAUCUGUCGUAAUCAGGUGUGUAGAAAAUCUACCGGACCCAGGAAAAAGAUGCAAAUUGACCAGGCAGAUGGAAUCAAAGGGAUUUGAAGUGGAAAGUGUCAAUUCGCCAUACCGACCUAGGAGGAUACGAAAGCAAUGGUGGGAGCCGUUGUGAAGCGAAGAGCAUCUUUUGAAGGAUCUUUUAGGAGUGGCAAAAAUGACAAAUAAGCGAGGAAAAGUGCCCUAGAAGUCCGAGCCUCAACUAUAAAUAGAGACGAUUAUCUUGAAGAGAGGCAUCUCCACUUGUAGUUUUUCGCUCUUUGUUCACUCCUCUUCAUCACUCAUUUCACUUCACACACAUAUUUUCUCUACGCACUUGGGAAUAGGUUGAAAUUCUGGGUGUUUUGUGGUGGUUUAGUUCAGUUCAGUAGUGCAACACCAUUUCCAAGGGGGCGAAGAUACAAUCUAUUUAUAUUUCUAUUGUUUUUACGCCUUGAACUUCGUUGUUUUGGAAGCUCGGCGCUGGCUGUUCUGUUUGAACUUAUUUCUGACGUUAUGAAAGUUUCGGUAUAUGUUUUAUCUGGUUUUGAUGC